GCAAAAUAUAUGAUGAGUUCAUAGUUCAAUUGAUUUAGACUGAAAAGUUACAAACUUUCGCCCCUAUCUGAUAUUGUUA